UGUGUGUUAGUGGAAGCGUCUGGAAAGGCGCGCGAUACAGGGUGACAGCCCCGUACACAAAAAUGCACAUGCUGUGAGCUCGAUGAGUAGGGCGGGACACGUGGUAUCCUGUCUGAAUAUGGGGGGACCAUCCUCCAAGGCUAAAUACUCCUGACUGACCGAUAGUGAACCAGUACCGUGAGGGAAAGGCGAAAAGAACCCCGGCGAGGGGAGUGAAAAAGAACCUGAAACCGUGUACGUACAAGCAGUGGGAGCACGCUUAGGCGUGUGACUGCGUACCUUUUGUAUAAUGGGUCAGCGACUUAUAUUCUGUAGCAAGGUUAACCGAAUAGGGGAGCCGAAGGGAAACCGAGUCUUAACUGGGCGUUAAGUUGCAGGGUAUAGACCCGAAACCCGGUGAUCUAGCCAUGGGCAGGUUGAAGGUUGGGUAACACUAACUGGAGGACCGAACCGACUAAUGUUGAAAAAUUAGCGGAUGACUUGUGGCUGGGGGUGAAAGGCCAAUCAAACCGGGAGAUAGCUGGUUCUCCCCGAAAGCUAUUUAGGUAGCGCCUCGUGAAUUCAUCUCCGGGGGUAGAGCACUGUUUCGGCAAGGGGGUCAUCCCGACUUACCAACCCGAUGCAAACUGCGAAUACCGGAGAAUGUUAUCACGGGAGACACACGGCGGGUGCUAACGUCCGUCGUGAAGAGGGAAACAACCCAGACCGCCAGCUAAGGUCCCAAAGUCAUGGUUAAGUGGGAAACGAUGUGGGAAGGCCCAGACAGCCAGGAUGUUGGCUUAGAAGCAGCCAUCAUUUAAAGAAAGCGUAAUAGCUCACUGGUCGAGUCGGCCUGCGCGGAAGAUGUAACGGGGCUAAACCAUGCACCGAAGCUGCGGCAGCGACGCUUAUGCGUUGUUGGGUAGGGGAGCGUUCUGUAAGCCUGUGAAGGUGUACUGUGAGGUAUGCUGGAGGUAUCAGAAGUGCGAAUGCUGACAUAAGUAACGAUAAAGCGGGUGAAAAGCCCGCUCGCCGGAAGACCAAGGGUUCCUGUCCAACGUUAAUCGGGGCAGGGUGAGUCGACCCCUAAGGCGAGGCCGAAAGGCGUAGUCGAUGGGAAACAGGUUAAUAUUCCUGUACUUGGUGUUACUGCGAAGGGGGGACGGAGAAGGCUAUGUUGGCCGGGCGACGGUUGUCCCGGUUUAAGCGUGUAGGCUGGUUUUCCAGGCAAAUCCGGAAAAUCAAGGCUGAGGCGUGAUGACGAGGCACUACGGUGCUGAAGCAACAAAUGCCCUGCUUCCAGGAAAAGCCUCUAAGCAUCAGGUAACAUCAAAUCGUACCCCAAACCGACACAGGUGGUCAGGUAGAGAAUACCAAGGCGCUUGAGAGAACUCGGGUGAAGGAACUAGGCAAAAUGGUGCCGUAACUUCGGGAGAAGGCACGCUGAUAUGUAGGUGAAGUCCCUCGCG
rnacentral:rRNA from 1 species